rnacentral:rRNA from 2 species
UGGGGAAUAUUGCACAAUGGGGGAAACCCUGAUGCAGCGACGCCGCGUGAAGGAAGAAGUAUCUCGGUAUGUAAACUUCUAUCAGCAGGGAAGAUGAUGACGGUACCUGACUAAGAAGCCCCGGCUAACUACGUGCCAGCAGCCGCGGUAAUACGUAGGGGGCAAGCGUUAUCCGGAUUUACUGGGUGUAAAGGGAGCGUAGACGGCAGAUCAAGUCUGAUGUGAAAGGCAGGGGCUUAACCCCUGGACUGCAUUGGAAACUGGUCAGCUGGAGUGCCGGAGGGGUAAGCGGAAUUCCUAGUGUAGCGGUGAAAUGCGUAGAUAUUAGGAGGAACACCAGUGGCGAAGGCGGCUUACUGGACGUGCACUGACGUUAAGGCUCGAAAGCGUGGGGAGCAAACAGG